CAUGGUAUCUUCCCAACCCUGGGAUCGAACCUGAGUCUAAUACACCGCAGGUAGAUUCUUUACCGACUGAGCUACCAGGGACCACCAGGGAAGUCCCCAGCUGCUGAAUUUCUUACUUGUGGGUUUUGAAUUGUAGGCAGAACAUGCUCUGUGAGCAUCAAAAUAUUGAGCCUAAAUCUACAGGAACGGAAUUUUGUAAAUGUCCCAAGACGGUUGCCGAUGGCCCACGUGUUUUGAGUCCAUCUCCCACCUGAGAGGCCAGGUGGCCGGUGAAAGUCCUAGGAAUUGUGUCACUCCACGUGGCACCAGAUCCCUUGCUACCUCGUCCCUGUGCAGCCUGCCCUUGGCUGUGGCUGUCCUCUGAGCAAAACAGUGAAAUCAAAGAGGCCCUUCCGCUGCACAGGACAUAAUUACCUGACCCAAGAUACUCCCCUCCCUUACUGCCAGCAUUCUUUCCCUGAGUCACCCCAGGACUCUCAGGAGUUGCUGCUGAAUGAGCUUCAUUCAGCGUCUUUAGAGGCGCAGAACCACCUGGGAAGGCACUGCGGGGUGCGUCACACCUUAACCGGGUUGCUUUUUGCAAAUGUCCACGGAGACUUCACACUUAAUGAAGCUUUGCCAGGAGGAGCCAACCGGAGAAAGCCAACGUGGCCCCCAACCAAUCACAUAGGAGCUCCGCUCCUACUGGCCCGCCCCCAGCUUCCCACGGCCAGCAGCCUCCAAUCAGGGAGGAGCCUUACCUGUUCUCUAAAUCUUUCCCACCCCUCUGC